CUCUACGGCCAUACCACCUUGAACGUGCCUGAUCACGGAAGCUAAGCAGGGUCGGGCCUGGUUAAUACUUGGAUGGGAAACCCAGGUUCUCAGGCAC
rnacentral:rRNA from 1 species